rnacentral:rRNA from 1 species
CCUACGUGUGGCAGCAGUGGGGAAUAUUGGGCAAUGGGCGCAAGCCUGACCCAGCAACGCCGCGUGAAGGAAGAAGGCUUUCGGGUUGUUAACUUCUUUUCUUACGGACGUAGAAAGUGACGCUAACUCAUGAAUAAGCCACUGCUAACUACGUGCCAGCAGCCGCGGUAAUACGUAGGUGGCAAGCGUUAUCCGGAUUUAUUGGGUGUAAAGGGUGUGUAGGCGGUAAAGCAAGUCAGAUGGUAAACCUCAGGGCUCAACCCUGGGCCUGCAUUUGACACUGUUUUUCUUGAGUGAUGGUGCGGUAGUCGGAAUUUCGUGUGUAGCGGUGAAAUGCGUAGAGAUAAGGAGGAACACCAGUGGCGAAGGCAGAUUACUGGGCAGCAACUGACGCUGAGGCGCGAAAGCGUGGGGAGCAAACAGGAUUAGAUACCCGAGUAGUC